AGCCUAUAUAUUAGGGGCUGGUGUCGUCAAAGCUGUAAUUGCUUAUCCACAGCAUACGCUCUUACAAACGCAUUCUUCAGUCGCCUCAUGAAUGCUUACGCGUCGCUGUCGCACGACCAAGAUGUGAGGGUCUUUAUCGAGCCAGGAUAUCGCUGUAACUACGCUGUGGCCUCGCAAGGUUGCUUCGUUUGGACGCAGCGAAUAAUAUAAUCGCACCAGCAGAAGAGCGCCGAUCGUCUCGCUCACGGUCCCGAUUUGUGUACUGUACCCUCAGUCAUGCAGCGCAGACUGCGCCCCCCCCCCCCCCCCCAAAAAAAAAAAAAAAUAUGCUCGGCACGAACCGUAGUAGCAGCUACCCGCCUCACCGCUCUUGUUGGAGACCACAACGAAGCAGCAGCUAACAGGCGGCCAUUCGAGCAAGCAAACCUGCCAGAAUAAACGUUCAAUUUGCGCGCCCGCCCCCUGCCCAAUGAAAAGCGACCGGAAGUGACGGGACGACGCUGUACAGUCACUUCGGCGCGCGGCAUGAUGGGAAGGCGGAAGCUACGCCAUUAUUGCAUUCUUUAGCUACGUGAAAUGCGUUCGCGUCUCGCGCUGUGCGACAUAAUUUUAAACGUGUGAUUAGUUUUGUGCGCGGUGUAGAAAAAGGUGUGGCCCGUGCUUUGUGUAUUACUCGUGGUCCACUUCAAAGCAAAGCGUUCGUACGCACUGGAAGAUGGAUCCACGGACGCUGAGACGAGCAGUUGCAACGUGCCCUGUGUCGGCGGUCGGUAGUACUGCCAUAAUGGAAAUUUUCAGGCAAGUGCCCAUUUAUUUGGUAUUUCUUUGGUUUGUUACGUGUUUUUGUUCGCUCUAGAAGUAUCUUAGUGUGAUCUCGUAGCAUAAUUCACUAAUGUAAGAGCAAGAGCAGCUGCACUCCUAGUAGGGCAAGUUAACUACCUCGAUCGCGCCCCGUCUUACAUCGGGCGUGAUGCGCCUGCAUAGUUACGCUUUUCUCAGCGCUUCAACGUUCAUAGAUAUGCUUCUUUUGUGCGUUCAGCGCGGCUUCUUGUAAUACGGUCGCUCGCACUUAAGUUAAAUGUGGUCGACCACUUUUGCGUCGCGUAGAAAAAGGACGACUGACUUUGCCACCUUUCGAAAGAACUGGCGCGGUAUUGGUUCUCCCUGAUGCGGUCGCGUGCUGCUGUUGCUGCUUGCCGGGCGCCUUUAACAUGUUUUCGGCUCGCUUUGUCUGUGCGUGUGUGCGCGCUCGCGCUCGGCUCGAUUCGUGUGUGUGCGUGCGCUCAGCUCAGCUCGCUUUGUGUGUGUGUGUGUGUGUGUGUGUGUGUGCGUGCAUGCGUGCGUGUGUGUGUGUGCAUGCGUGCGUCUUGCGCGCGCAUACAUGCCGGUUUGUAUGGGCCGGCGUGCUUGCGUGUGUCUAGUGCGUACGUGUUUUGUGAGCGUGUUUCUGUGUGGGUCACUGUGUGUGCGUCCACGUGUUAGCGUGUCUGCCUGCAUGUAUGUGUGAUUGUUUGUGUUUAUCAAUGUGCGCGUGCGUGCCUUUGUGUCUGCGCUUUGAGAGUGCGUAUAUUUGUGUGCGUGCGUAUGUAUUGCAUAAGGCCGGUAGAAUUUUACUCGCAAUAAAACUCUUCCAAUUUGGUGCAGCGAGUGUUGCCGCCUGAAAGCCGAGUUUGGUUUCAAGCCAACCUGGACAACUGCUGUAUGAGGCGCUGUUUCGCAGGAGGAUCAGUGGGAAGGCGUCAGGUCAUGCAGAUGAUAGCAUCAAUUUCACAAUGCCCAGCCUUGGUGCCCUCCAUUAAGAGCAAGCCACUUGCGUUCGCCUUCAGGCAGAUGGUUGAUGUCUUCUAGGAAGCAGUUGGGAAGACUACAUUGAUGCAAGAUUCCAGCAAUGCCAUGCGCUGCAUUUAUUGGUCAAGUUGCUCAGAGAAUGGAGUCCCUGCACCUCGUGGUGAAACGUGAACAUUUUCUUUCUUUUGGAAAGCUAAACGUCAUUUGCUGUAUCAAUUGCAUUCUUGCAGCUCAGAUGUGUACUAUAUUUUUUCUAAUUUUGAAUCAAUUAAUAUUCACUUUUCUGUAUAAAAAUGACGUACAGUGUGAAGGACAAGGACUGCGAGAGAUGACAUACACUGCGCUGACUUCCAACAAUAUUUUAUUGCGUUGCCACAUCGUGUGUUUAUACACAAGAAGGGCCAUGCGCAGAAAAUGAAAGGCAGUCGCAAGGGGUGUUCUAACAGCAAGUCAUUGUACUAAGAACAUGGUCACUAAAAAAAAAUCACAAUUUCUAUCUGUGGAGAUACAAGACUUCACUAGGGGUCAGCGUGAUAGAGGG